GACGAACGCUGGCGGCGCGCCUAACACAUGCAAGUCGAACGAGCGAGAGAGAGCUUGCUUUCUCAAGCGAGUGGCGAACGGGUGAGUAACGCGUGAGGAACCUGCCUCAAAGAGGGGGACAACAGUUGGAAACGACUGCUAAUACCGCAUAAGCCCACGGCUCGGCAUCGAGCAGAGGGAAAAGGAGCAAUCCGCUUUGAGAUGGCCUCGCGUCCGAUUAGCUAGUUGGUGAGGUAACGGCCCACCAAGGCGACGAUCGGUAGCCGGACUGAGAGGUUGAACGGCCACAUUGGGACUGAGACACGGCCCAGACUCCUACGGGAGGCAGCAGUGGGGAAUAUUGCACAAUGGGGGAAACCCUGAUGCAGCGACGCCGCGUGGAGGAAGAAGGUCUUCGGAUUGUAAACUCCUGUUGUUGAGGAAGAUAAUGACGGUACUCAACAAGGAAGUGACGGCUAACUACGUGCCAGCAGCCGCGGUAAAACGUAGGUCACAAGCGUUGUCCGGAAUUACUGGGUGUAAAGGGAGCGCAGGCGGGAAGACAAGUUGGAAGUGAAAUCCAUGGGCUCAACCCAUGAACUGCUUUCAGAACUGUUUUUCUUGAGUAGUGCAGAGGUAGGCGGAAUUCCCGGUGUAGCGGUGGAAUGCGUAGAUAUCGGGAGGAACACCAGUGGCGAAGGCGGCCUACUGGGCACCAACUGACGCUGAGGCUCGAAAGUGUGGGUAGCAAACAGGAUUAGAUACCCUGGUAGUCCACACUGUAAACGAUGAUUACUAGGUGUUGGAGGAUUGACCCCUUCAGUGCCGCAGUUAACACAAUAAGUAAUCCACCUGGGGAGUACGACCGCAAGGUUGAAACUCAAAGGAAUUGACGGGGGCCCGCACAAGCAGUGGAGUAUGUGGUUUAAUUCGACGCAACGCGAAGAACCUUACCAAGUCUUGACAUCCUGCGACGGUGCUGGAAACAGAACUUUCCUUCGGGACGCAGAGACAGGUGGUGCAUGGUUGUCGUCAGCUCGUGUCGUGAGAUGUUGGGUUAAGUCCCGCAACGAGCGCAACCCUUAUGGUCAGUUACUACGCAAGAGGACUCUGGCCAGACUGCCGUUGACAAAACGGAGGAAGGUGGGGAUGACGUCAAAUCAUCAUGCCCUUUAUGACUUGGGCUACACACGUACUACAAUGGCGUUAAACAAAGAGAAGCAAGACCGCGAGGUGGAGCAAAACUCAGAAACAACGUCCCAGUUCGGACUGCAGGCUGCAACUCGCCUGCACGAAGUCGGAAUUGCUAGUAAUCGCAGAUCAGCAUGCUGCGGUGAAUACGUUCCCGGGCCUU
rnacentral:rRNA from 1 species